rnacentral:rRNA from 1 species
UGGGGAAUUUUGGACAAUGGGCGCAAGCCUGAUCCAGCAAUGCCGCGUGCAUGAUGAAGGCCUUCGGGUUGUAAACUGCUUUUGUACGGAGCGAAAAGGUCUGCCCUAAUACGGUGGGCUCAUGACGGUACCGUAAGAAUAAGCACCGGCUAACUACGUGCCAGCAGCCGCGGUAAUACGUAGGGUGCGAGCGUUAAUCGGAAUUACUGGGCGUAAAGCGUGCGCAGGCGGUUAUAUACGUCAGAUGUGAAAUCCCCGGGCUCAACCUGGGAACUGCAUUUGAGACUGUAUAGCUAGAGUACGGUAGAGGGGGGUGGAAUUCCGGGUGUAGCGGUGAAAUGCGUAGAUAUGUGGAGGAACACCGAUGGCGAAGGCAAUCCCCUGGACGUGUACUGACGCUCAUGUGCGAAAGCGUGGGGAGCAAACA